GUGGAUGUGCUGCUGCCCAUAGAGGUGACAAAAGGCCCCACGUCUCACAUCCGCCUCCGCGCCACUGUGCUGGAAGCGUCGCUCGACCUCUCCAAGAACACGCUGCAGUUCUCUGACAUCCUGCUCGGGCAGUGCCAGGUUGAGACCAUCCGGCUCUACAACCGCUUCCAAGCACCCUGCAAAUGGUCCAUCGAGCCUGUUCUGAAGAACAAUCACCU